AUUGAACGCUGGCGGCAGGCCUAACACAUGCAAGUCGAACGAGUGGCGGACGGGUGAGAAAUGUCUGGGAAACUGUCUGAUGGAGGGGGAUAACUCCUGGAAACGGUAGCUAAUACCCCAUAUCCUCACAUGUGCCCCGAUGGGAUUAGCUAGUAGGUGAGGGAACGGCUCACCCAGGCGACGAUCCCUAGCUGGUCUGAGAGGAUGACCAGACACACUGGAACGGAGACACGGUCCAGACUCCUACGGGAGGCAGCAGUGGGGAAUAUUGCACAAUGGGCGCAAGCCUGAUGCAGCCAUGCCGCGUGUAUGAAGAAGGCCUUCGGGUUGUAAAGUACUUUCAGCGGGGAGGCGUUACCCGCAGAAGAAGCACCGGCUAACUCCGUGCCAGCAGCCGCGGUAAUAC
rnacentral:rRNA from 1 species